CUCAGCUGGCUGGCUAGUGCCGGACCCGCUGUCGGGAGAGGCAGCCAGGACUCCAGGGCUGCCCCGCACCCCACCUCGUGCCGGGCACCGCCAUGUUCCCCUCCUACACGCUGCGCCACGCUGCUGGCCCGCCCUCCCUCCCCUCCUUUGAGACUCCUUUCCCCUUCUCUCAGGUCUCUCACCUCUCCCUGCCCUUUAUUCUCCCCUCACAGCCCUCCCAGACACCCAGCAAGGAGCAAAAUGGCCAGGGCAGCACCCUCUGUUUCCGGAGCAGCUGCAGCAAGGGGUGGACGACCUGGGGAACCAGGGACCCCAGACCCGCCUGGAGCCCUGUGGGUGGCCACAGCCCCAGGAGGGCUGGAUCCGGAGGACUGGCCAGCAGGAUCGCUCAGGAUGGAAGUCUUCUACUCAAGAGCCCCAGGCCCAGAGUCCCCAGGAGGGAGCAGCCGGCAGCACCGUUUCCGCCGUGGAGAUGGGGCGUCCUGGCUUGAGUUCACUCCUUUCCAGGUGGAGCUGACGCCUUGAGACCAAGGCCAGGCCCCCCAGGCCCCAAGGCUCUGAGGGUGUCACUCUCUUGCCCAGGCUGGAGUGCAGUGGUGCGAUCAUGGCUUGCUGCAGCCUCAACACCCUGGGCUCGCACGAUCCUCUCGCCUCAGCCUCCCACAGAACUGGGAAUGCAGGUGCCUGCCGCUGCACCCGACUGCUUUUUGGUAGAGAUGGGGUCUCACUGUGUUGCUCAGGCUGAUCUCCAGCUUCUGGACUCAAGCUAUCUGCCCACGUUGGCCUCCCAAAAUACUGAGAUUACAGGUGUGAGCCACCUCACCUGGCCCAAAAUAAAAUCAUUUAAAAAGGAAAAAAA